rnacentral:rRNA from 1 species
UACGUAGGGGGCGAGCGUUGUCCGGAAUGACUGGGCGUAAAGGGCGCGUAGGCGGCUGUGUAAGUUAGGAGUGAAAUUCCAGUUUUUAAGAUUGGAACUGCUUUUAAUACUGCAUGGCUUGAGUGCAGAAGAGGUAAGAGGAAUUCCCAGUGUAGCGGUGAAAUGCGUAGAGAUUGGGAAGAACACCAGUGGCGAAGGCGGCUUAAUGGGCUGUAACUGACGCUGAGGCGCGAAAGCGUGGGGAGCGAAC